AAAUUGAAGAGUUUGAUCAUGGCUCAGAUUGAACGCUGGCGGCAGGCCUAACACAUGCAAGUCGAACGGUAACAGGAAGCAGCUUGCUGCUUCGCUGACGAGUGGCGGACGGGUGAGUAAUGUCUGGGAAACUGCCUGAUGGAGGGGGAUAACUACUGGAAACGGUGGCUAAUACCGCAUAACGUCGCAAGACCAAAGAGGGGGACCUUCGGGCCUCUUGCCAUCAGAUGUGCCCAGAUGGGAUUAGCUAGUUGGUGAGGUAACGGCUCACCAAGGCGACGAUCCCUAGCUGGUCUGAGAGGAUGACCAGCCACACUGGAACUGAGACACGGUCCAGACUCCUACGGGAGGCAGCAGUGGGGAAUAUUGCACAAUGGGCGCAAGCCUGAUGCAGCCAUGCCGCGUGUAUGAAGAAGGCCUUCGGGUUGUAAAGUACUUUCAGCGGGGAGGAAGGUGUUGUGGUUAAUAACCGCAGCAAUUGACGUUACCCGCAGAAGAAGCACCGG
rnacentral:rRNA from 2 species